rnacentral:rRNA from 1 species
GUGAGGAAUUUUCCGCAAUGGGCGAAAGCCUGACGGAGCAAUACCGCGUGAAGGAUGAAGGCCUAUGGGUUGUAAACUUCUUUUCUCAGAAAAGAAUUAUGACGGUAUCUGAGGAAUAAGCAUCGGCUAACUCUGUGCCAGCAGCCGCGGUAAGACAGAGGAUGCAAGCGUUAUCCGGAAUGAUUGGGCGUAAAGCGUCUGUAGGUUGUUUAAAAAGUAUUCUGUCAAAGAUUAGGGCUUAACCCUAGAUAGGCAGAAUAAACUUUUAAGCUAGAGUUUGGUAGAGGCAGAGGGAAUUCCCGGUGGAGCGGUGAAAUGCGUAGAUAUCGGGAGGAACACCAAAGGCGAAGGCACUCUGCUGGGCCAAUACUAACACUGAGAGACGAAAGCGAGGGGAGCAAAUGGGAUUAGAAACCCCAGUAGUCC